rnacentral:rRNA from 1 species
CGCACGGGUGCGGAACACGUGUGCAACCUGCCUUUAUCUGGGGGAUAGCCUUUCGAAAGGAAGAUUAAUACCCCAUAAUAUAUUGAGUGGCAUCACUUGAUAUUGAAAACUCCGGUGGAUAGAGAUGGGCACGCGCAAGAUUAGAUAGUUGGUGAGGUAACGGCUCACCAAGUCAAUGAUCUUUAGGGGGCCUGAGAGGGUGAUCCCCCACACUGGUACUGAGACACGGACCAGACUCCUACGGGAGGCAGCAGUGAGGAAUAUUGGACAAUGGGUGAGAGCCUGAUCCAGCCAUCCCGCGUGAAGGACGACUGCCCUAUGGGUUGUAAACUUCUUUUAUACUGGGAUAAACCUACCCUUCGUGAGGGUAGCUGAAGGUACAGUAUGAAUAAGCACCGGCUAACUCCGUGCCAGCAGCCGCGGUAAUACGGAGGGUGCAAGCGUUAUCCGGAUUUAUUGGGUUUAAAGGGUCCGUAGGCGGACUCGUAAGUCAGUGGUGAAAUCUCAUAGCUUAACUAUGAAACUGCCAUUGAUACUGCGGGUCUUGAGUAAAGUAGAAGUGGCUGGAAUAAGUAGUGUAGCGGUGAAAUGCAUAGAUAUUACUUAGAACACCAAUUGCGAAGGCAGGUCACUAUGUUUUAACUGACGCUGAUGGACGAAAGCGUGGGGAGCGAACAGGAUUAGAUACCCUGGUAGUCCACGCCGUAAACGAUGCUAACUCGUUUUUGGGUUUUCGGAUUCAGAGACUAAGCGAAAGUGAUAAGUUAGCCACCUGGGGAGUACGUUCGCAAGAAUGAAACUCAAAGGAAUUGACGGGGGCCCGCACAAGCGGUGGAUUAUGUGGUUUAAUUCGAUGAUACGCGAGGAACCUUACCAAGGCUUAAAUGGGAAUUGACAGGUUUAGAAAUAGAUCCUUCUUCGGACAAUUUUCAAGGUGCUGCAUGGUUGUCGUCAGCUCGUGCCGUGAGGUGUUAGGUUAAGUCCUGCAACGAGCGCAACCCCUGUCACUAGUUGCCAUCAUUCAGUUGGGGACUCUAGUGAGACUGCCUACGCAAGUAGAGAGGAAGGUGGGGAUGACGUCAAAUCAUCACGGCCCUUACGCCUUGGGCCACACACGUAAUACAAUGGCCGGUACAGAGGGCAGCUACUAUGCGAAUAGAUGCGAAUCUCGAAAGCCGGUCUC